CCUACGGGAGGCAGCAGUGGGGAAUAUUGGUCAAUGGACGAGAGUCUGAACCAGCCAAGUCGCGUGAAGGAUGACUGCCCUAUGGGUUGUAAACUUCUUUUAUAUGGGAAUAAAACGUUCCACGUGUGGGAUUUUGUCUGUACCAUAUGAAUAAGGAUCGGCUAACUCCGUGCCAGCAGCCGCGGUAAUACGGAGGAUCCGAGCGUUAUCCGGAUUUAUUGGGUUUAAAGGGAGCGUAGGUGGAUUGUUAAGUCAGUGGUGAAAGUUUGCGGCUCAACCGUAAAAUUGCAGUUGAAACUGGCAGGCUUGAGUACAGUAGAGGUGGGCGGAAUUCGUGGUGUAGCGGUGAAAUGCGUAGAUAUCACGAAGAACUCCGAUUGCGAAGGCAGUUCACUGGACUGCAACUGACAUUGAGGCUCGAAAGUGUGGGUAUCAAACAGGAUUAGAUACCCGAGUAGUC
rnacentral:rRNA from 1 species